ACCGAUGGCGAAGGCAGGUUUCUGGGCCAUUACUGACACUGAGAAGCGAAAGCAUGGGGAGCGAACAGGAUUAGAUACCCUGGUAGUCCAUGCCGUAAACGUUGGGAACUAGGUGUGGGUCUCAUUCCACGAGAUCCGUGCCGCAGCUUACGCAUUAAGUUCCCCGCCUGGGGAGUACGGCCGCAAGGCUAAAACUCAAAGGAAUUGACGGGGGCCCGCACAAGCGGCGGAGCAUGCGGAUUAAUUCGAUGCAACGCGAAGAACCUUACCAAGGCUUGACAUACACCGGAAUCACUCAGAGAUGGGUGCGUCUUCGGACUGGUGUACAGGUGGUGCAUGGUUGUCGUCAGCUCGUGUCGUGAGAUGUUGGGUUAGGUCCCGCAACGAGCGCAACCCUCGUUCUAUGUUGCCAGCACGUCAUGGUGGGGACUCAUAGGAGACUGCCGGGGUCAACUCGGAGGAAGGUGGGGAUGACGUCAAAUCAUCAUGCCCCUUAUGUCUUGGGCUUCACGCAUGCUACAAUGGCCGGUACAAAGGGCUGCGAAACCGCGAGGUGGAGCGAAUCCCAAAAAACCGGUCUCAGUUCGGAUUGGGGUCUGCAACUCGACCCCAUGAAGUCGGAGUCGCUAGUAAUCGCAGAUCAGCAACGCUGCGGUGAAUACGUU
rnacentral:rRNA from 1 species